AGGGCACCUAGGGAGACAGAGCAGAGACGUCACUUGCCGGGAGAGACCAGACGAGGCAGGUGCAGCCCUGAGCGAGGAAGGAGGUGGUGGCGAGUCCAAACCACCCGGGAGGGGAGCGGGGCGACGGCAGUGUCUAACAGAUGCCCCUUCCACCCGGGAACAGCCGGUGUUAGCAGCAGUGGUCCCCGGGCUCGGAGCUGAGCAGUUUGCAUGCGUGAGCUCAGGUAACCUUCUCUGCACACCUGGCGGGCAGAGAUGCUAUUAUCCCAUCUUGUCGGCGGGGAGAAGGAGCUUCCAAGAGCUCGGGGAACUUGCCUCCCACUUUACAAGAAUGGAGUCAAGUGCUGGCCACACUUUGCAGCUCUAGAGACAGCCAGGAGUCACCUUGACACCACCUUUCCUGGCGCGAGGACAGCCGGACAGGCUGAAAAACGGACCGGGCAAAGAGCAAAGCAGAACCACGUGACCUCACGGGCGGCUGGACACUCGGAUUUCCACCCUCUGUGGGGGGGGGGGGGGUCAGUCCUACCUUCUGUGGGAGGCGUAGUUUCCCGUCACGUGUCCUGAACCGUCACAGCCUGGGGUCGGACACCUGGAAAACAGGAGGGUGGAGCUCGGGCCGCGGGGCUGUCGCGGAGGGCGGGGCGCCGCAUCACAGCCAGCCAGCGUUUGCGUAGAACGAGCUGAUGCCGUGGCGCUCUUUUUGCUCAACUGUAACCGGGUUUUAGCUAAGGUUCUGUUUUAAAGGCGACGUUGAGGUGUGUAACUACUGCCCCAUGCUUGGCAGACAACGUCUUAGGUGUUACCCUGCAUUUUUUUUUUCUUCUUUUUAACCCUUAUUUUGGAAGGAACCUGAAAUUCUACCCACAGCUGACUGCUGGGCCUCUGUCUACAUCCUGCAAAGUUCUUAUCUCUUGCUUAAGAAAAAGAGUUGCCAAAUUGUUUUUGUGCAUCAUUUAUUUUCUUUGAUUUGCUCCACCCUUAGAGGGUCCUGCCAGUUCAGAUGGACAACGGUAGUGUCUGGGUACCCCAGAGACCUGGCAGAUUCCUGUCGAUGCCAAAGGACUGAGGACAUUUUGCACCUGCUCGGCCCUGCUUAGACGGCCUUUUGGAAAAUCUAACAUUAACUCUGACCGACAAUCAACAUUUGAAUUCGGACUCAGGAGAGUGAAGAAGGAAAGAGAAUCCAAUCCUACUUGGAAUGCUAAUUAGGAACAAGUUUUAAAAUACACUUGAAGACAAAAAUAUAUAGAGAUUCUCACAUUUCUGUUGCCUUUAAAAAAAUGCCUAAUAGAAAUAAAAACACAGAGUCUGUCAUAAAACAUUUGCUUCCCUGAAGGCCCUGUGGACAACGUGAUUGUGAUUACUUCACUUGUACGUCCACCCUGGUUCAGCUUUCUCCCCAAACAAGAGUUUGAGGAAAAUAAUAACCCAAAGAAGAAUGUAAACAACAUUCCUUUUUGUCAAUUCUAACCCACUGAACCUCCAUGGAAAUGCCUUUAUGUUCAAUCUGGAGGCAAAAUACAGGGAGCGAAUGCUUUUUUCAAAGGAAAUGUGAAACCAGCACACAUCUCGUCAAGGUCACCGGAGGACCCUGCUCUGGUUCUUGAAUCAACCGCUUAGAGAUUUAACAUGUAUUCUAUGUUGUGGGCGAGGCGCAGACGCUUGUCUUUUUCUAUUAAUAUUUUUAGUAAAAUGGUUAGUCAUUUACUAACACAUUGCUAUCCUGGAGAAAUCUGUGCCCAAAGCCUUGUUUUGCAGUCCUCCCUGACUAUUUAAGCCUGAGGUCAAUGAAAUGUCGCUUUUUCUUCUUUGUACAGAAGAAAGCCAGAGGUGCUGCUUAUCGGAUGGCUGCAUGAAACAUGCCAACACCGAACGUCGCUAGAGAACCUUGCAGUCUACAUGCUUUCAAUGUACUAGCAACGUUUCUUUUCUAGAAAUAAUGUUUAGAGAAAAUACUUAGAACCGAUAGCUAUUUUUAAGAUCUGGCAAUGCAGAAGCUUAAAGCAAUUGACUAAGACUGAGUAUAUAAGUGCUGAGUAAUUGAGUUUAAGUAAGAUUGAGGAAGAAUGUCUGGCCCUUUUCUCAACCCACUCAUUAGUCUCCACGUCACAUUCCUACAUUUCAGUCUAGAAAAACGGUUGUCAGCCAGACGAUUUCUAGAAUCUACACUGACAAUUAAUUGUGCGUUCACUUUGAAAAUGGGAACAGUUGCAUAUUUUAUAGUUGUCUUUUCUAUUGAUGGCGCUAAAAUUCAGCAUUUUUAUACCUGUUUAGUAAAUGUCACAUCUUCUUUCAUAAACUUUUUGGGGUAAUUUUUAGAUAAAUUUUAAACAAAUUAAAAAAUGAAAAUAUGAAGAAAAUAUUGAGAAAACAUAAUAACUGAAAUUUUAUGUGUCAAUUCGAUACCAAAUGUUGAUUCUACGAUUUACACAAACAUUAUUUUAUCACUAGACUUAGUAACACUCAUUUUUCCUAAAAUAUUAUUAUGUGCAAAUAAAUUUUAUCCACUUUGUUUAA